rnacentral:tRNA from 1 species
UCACAUCACGCUUUCACCGUGGAGACCGGGGUUCGACUCCCCGUAUCGGAG